AGUGUCCCUUGCUCCACUGCCCUCUCUGGGGCGCUUCCCGCCGCGGUUUCUCUACCUCCAAUAGCUACGGGAAGGCGAUUAAGAGGUGCCGCGGAGACUUUAAGGGCUUGGUUAUGUAGGUUCAGGCCGGCGCCUCAGUCUGCAAGCGCAAAGUCCGAGCUCAGGGCGCAUACUGGAAAGCAGUUCUCUGCCCUGUCCUGAACUGGGACUUGGAAAUAGAAGCAAGACGAGAAGCGUGCAUGCACACGUGUGCAAUACAUACAUGCACAGGCACAAGCACCCCCAGUUCCAGCCUGUUCCAAAAGCACGGGGUCAGUUCCCACCUGCGUGGUGCACGCUGGGCUGCUGCGCUGGAACUAGGGGUGAUAGGCAGAAUGGCUCCCCCUGAAGUUUUUCAGCCUUCGUUCGGGCUCACGAGCAUCACGAGCAGGAAGUACGUGACAC
rnacentral:lncRNA from 1 species